rnacentral:rRNA from 1 species
AACGAACGCUGGCGGCAUGCCUAACACAUGCAAGUCGAACGAGACCUUCGGGUCUAGUGGCGCACGGGUGCGUAACGCGUGGGAACCUGCCCUUAGGUUCGGAAUAACUCCCCGAAAGGGGUGCUAAUACCGGAUAAUGUCUUCGGACCAAAGAUUUAUCGCCUUUGGAUGGGCCCGCGUUGGAUUAGCUAGUUGGUAGGGUAAAAGCCUACCAAGGCGACGAUCCAUAGCUGGUCUGAGAGGAUGAUCAGCCACACUGGGACUGAGACACGGCCCAGACUCCUACCGGAGGCAGCAGUGGGGAAUAUUGGACAAUGGGCGAAAGCCUGAUCCAGCAAUGCCGCGUGAGUGAUGAAGGCCUUAGGGUUGUAAAGCUCUUUUACCCGGGAUGAUAAUGACAGUACCGGGAGAAUAAGCUCCGGCUAACUCCGUG